rnacentral:lncRNA from 1 species
UUUAGGAAAACAUGGUACACAUAAAUUGCUAGACAAAGAGAAUCUCUUGUAUAUAUCAAGAGAUCUUACAAGUUACUAAAUCAAACUGAGACUCUCAUACAAUUGACAGGAAAUAACAGUACCCAUCCUUUUAUUUAAUUAAACAUAACAUAAGAGACAAACAUGGCAUGCACUUAACCAGUGUAGUCAGGAUUUCUUCCAUAUUGAGGGACCACAAGAAAAUCAAGAUUGUUGUUACUUUCAUCGACCGUAAUAAUUAAACCCCACAAGGGGUCCGGAAACCCCUCCGACCAAUCGUUAUGACCUGAAAAAAUCAUAUUAUAAAACUUAAUCACAGUUGCACAUAUUAAAAUAAGAAUUAUAAACGAUAUUUAAUUGAAAAUGCAUGGCCUAUAUUUAUACCCGCGCAAGGAGUUCCCAUAAUCUUCAAAUCAGGAAGGCAAAAGAUUUAUGCUGGCUUGGACUGAACCGUAUUCAAAACUCAAAAGAAAAGAAGUUGUGCUUGAGCGAGUUCUUAUUUCAGAUUGAUAUGAUAUAUAUAGAUCAAGUAGCCGACACUACGGUGCCAACG